rnacentral:lncRNA from 1 species
CCCUCAUACCUCUCUCUCUCAGAAACCCCAUUUCUUGUAUAAAAAUACUCUCAUCAUCCUCACCACCUCAUUUUAUUGGCUUGUUACCCCCAUCAUAUUCCAGCUCACAAAGGCAAAAGAAAGCAAGUAGAAAUAAAAAAGAAACAUUUCUCCUCUCUCAUUACUAUUUAAUCAUCAUCUACUAAUGAACCAAAAGUGAAACAAUUUUGUUUUGCUUAUCAUACUGCACACAAUCUCUCUCUCUCUCUCUCUCUCU